rnacentral:rRNA from 1 species
AGAGUUUGAUCCUGGCUCAGGAUGAACGCUGGCGGCGUGCCUAAUACAUGCAAGUCGAGCGAACGGACGAGAAGCUUGCUUCUCUGAUGUUAGCGGCGGACGGGUGAGUAACACGUGGAUAACCUACCUAUAAGACUGGGAUAACUUCGGGAAACCGUAGCUAAUACCGGAUAAUAUUUUGAACCGCAUGGUUCAAAAGUGAAAGACGGUCUUGCUGUCACUUAUAGAUGGAUCCGCGCUGCAUUAGCUAGUUGGUAAGGUAACGGCUUACCAAGGCAACGAUGCAUAGCCGACCUGAGAGGGUGAUCGGCCACACUGGAACUGAGACACGGUCCAGACUCCUACGGGAGGCAGCAGUAGGGAAUCUUCCGCAAUGGGCGAAAGCCUGACGGAGCAACGCCGCGUGAGUGAUGAAGGUCUUCGGAUCGUAAAACUCUGUUAUUAGGGAAGAACAUAUGUGUAAGUAACUGUGCACAUCUUGACGGUACCUAAUCAGAAAGCCACGGCUAACUACGUGCCAGCAGCCGCGGUAAUACGUAGGUGGCAAGCGUUAUCCGGAAUUAUUGGGCGUAAAGCGCGCGUAGGCGGUUUUUUAAGUCUGAUGUGAAAGCCCACGGCUCAACCGUGGAGGGUCAUUGGAAACUGGAAAACUUGAGUGCAGAAGAGGAAAGUGGAAUUCCAUGUGUAGCGGUGAAAUGCGCAGAGAUAUGGAGGAACACCAGUGGCGAAGGCGACUUUCUGGUCUGUAACUGACGCUGAUGUGCGAAAGCGUGGGGAUCAAACAGGAUUAGAUACCCUGGUAGUCCACGCCGUAAACGAUGAGUGCUAAGUGUUAGGGGGUUUCCGCCCCUUAGUGCUGCAGCUAACGCAUUAAGCACUCCGCCUGGGGAGUACGACCGCAAGGUUGAAACUCAAAGGAAUUGACGGGGACCCGCACAAGCGGUGGAGCAUGUGGUUUAAUUCGAAGCAACGCGAAGAACCUUACCAAAUCUUGACAUCCUUUGACAACUCUAGAGAUAGAGCUUUCCCCUUCGGGGGACAAAGUGACAGGUGGUGCAUGGUUGUCGUCAGCUCGUGUCGUGAGAUGUUGGGUUAAGUCCCGCAACGAGCGCAACCCUUAAGCUUAGUUGCCAUCAUUAAGUUGGGCACUCUAAGUUGACUGCCGGUGACAAACCGGAGGAAGGUGGGGAUGACGUCAAAUCAUCAUGCCCCUUAUGAUUUGGGCUACACACGUGCUACAAUGGACAAUACAAAGGGCAGCGAAACCGUGAGGUCAAGCAAAUCCCAUAAAGUUGUUCUCAGUUCGGAUUGUAGUCUGCAACUCGACUACAUGAAGCUGGAAUCGCUAGUAAUCGUAGAUCAGC